rnacentral:rRNA from 1 species
CCUACGGGGGGCAGCAGUGGGGAAUAUUGGACAAUGGGGGCAACCCUGAUCCAGCCAUGCCGCGUGUGUGAAGAAGGCCCUCGGGUUGUAAAGCACUUUCAGUGAGGAAGAACGCCUGGUGGUUAAUACCCAUCAGGAAAGACAUCACUCACAGAAGAAGCACCGGCUAACUCCGUGCCAGCAGCCGCGGUAAUACGGAGGGUGCGAGCGUUAAUCGGAAUUACUGGGCGUAAAGCGCGCGUAGGUGGCUUGAUAAGCCGGUUGUGAAAGCCCCGGGCUCAACCUGGGAACGGCAUCCGGAACUGUCAAGCUAGAGUGCAGGAGAGGAAGGUAGAAUUCCCGGUGUAGCGGUGAAAUGCGUAGAGAUCGGGAGGAAUACCAGUGGCGAAGGCGGCCUUCUGGACUGACACUGACACUGAGGUGCGAAAGCGUGGGUAGCAAACAGGAUUAGCUACCCGUGUAGUA